AAAAAAAAAAAAAAAAAACAAAGUUUACGGCUUUCUGUCAGUAAAUCUAAUUUUUCUUUUUAAUGCACAAUGCUCAUCUUCUCAUUCUCAAUAAGAACUGGACAUAUUUUAAAAUUUCUCACUUUGGAUAUUGACAUAAAGCAUUACAAACAACAUUCUAAAAUUGAGAACAUUAUUCUAAAAUUGAGAACAUUUUUGCUGUACGCUGGGGAAACGUGUAAAUUACAAAAAAACAAAGUAAACACACAAAAUAAUAUUUACAUGGUUCACCCUCUCAAUAUACGGCUACAUUCACGGACAUGUAAUCUUCCACUAUAAAUAAUAAUAAAUUAUCAAUUACAAGCUCAAAGCUAUUUUACCCAUCGACCCAAUUAUACCCAAGAGAACUCAUACUACAUA
rnacentral:misc_RNA from 1 species